GACGAACGCUGGCGGUGUGCUUAACACAUGCAAGUCGAACGGUAAGGCCCUUUCGGGGGUACACGAGUGGCGAACGGGUGAGUAACACGUGAGUAACCUGCCCUCAUCUCUGGGAUAACAGUCGGAAACGGUUGCUAAUACUGGAUAUGAGCCUGCAAGGCAUCUUGUGGGUUGGAAAGAUUUUUUGGUUGGGGAUGGACUCGCGGCCUAUCAGCUUGUUGGUGAGGUAGUGGCUCACCAAGGCUUCGACGGGUAGCCGGCCUGAGAGGGCGACCGGCCACAUUGGGACUGAGAGACGGCCCAAACUCCUACGGGAGGCAGCAGUGGGGAAUAUUGCACAAUGGACGGAAGUCUGAUGCAGCAACGCCGCGUGCGGGAGGACGGCCUUCGGGUUGUAAACCGCUUUCAAUUGUGACGAAGCUUUUUGUGACGGUAGCAGUAGAAGAAGCACCGGCUAACUACGUG
rnacentral:rRNA from 1 species